rnacentral:rRNA from 1 species
AUUGAACGCUGGCGGCAUGCCUUACACAUGCAAGUCGAACGCUCGUAGCAAUACGGGAGUGGCGGACGGGUGAGUAACGCGUGGGAACGUGCCCUGAGGUACGGAAUAACUGAGGGAAACUUCAGCUAAUACCGUAUGAGCCCCGAGAGGGGGAAAGAUUUAUCGCCUUGGGAGCGGCCCGCGUCGGAUUAGCUAGUUGGUGGGGUAACGGCCUACCAAGGCUUCGAUCCGUAGCUGGUCUGAGAGGACGAUCAGCCACACUGGGACUGAGACACGGCCCAGACUCCUACGGGAGGCAGCAGUGGGGAAUCUUGCGCAAUGGGGGCAGCCCUGACGCAGCCAUGCCGCGUGAACGAUGAAGGCCUUAGGGUUGUAAAGUUCUUUUACCCGUGACGAUGAUGACGGUAACGGGGGAAUAAGCUCCGGCUAACUUCGUGCCAGCAGCCGCGGUAAU